rnacentral:rRNA from 1 species
GUAGGUGGCAAGCGUUGUCCGGAAUUAUUGGGCGUAAAGCGCGCGCAGGCGGGUUCUUUAAGUCUGAUGUGAAAGACCCACCGGGCUCAACCGUGGAGGGUCAUUGGAAACUGGAGAACUUGAGUACAGAAGAGGAAAGCGGAAUUCCACGUGUAGCGGUGAAAUGCGUAGAGAUGUGGAGGAACACCAGUGGCGAAGGCGGCUUUCUGGUCUGUAACUGACGCUGAGGCGCGAAAGCGUGGGGAGCAAACAGGAUUAGAUACCCUGGUAGUCCACGCCGUAAACGAUGAGUGCUAAGUGUUAGGGGGUUUCCGCCCCUUAGUGCUGCAGCUAACGCAUUAAGCACUCCGCCUGGGAGUACGGCCGCAAGGCUG